ensembl:lncRNA
AGAACAUUUCACGGUUGGUGUUCAUCUUUUCUUUAAAGCUCCUUAAAUACCAAGUGUGUCAUGAGAGCGGAGAGUGGAAAUGACUGAGCCAUUCUGCCCUUUAAUUAGUUCAACACUGAUCAACUCCACACAGUCUCUAUUCAGCACGACUCUCUCAGACCACUGCAGAACACUGGGAAAUGAGCACAGCACAAGCUUUGAGUGUUUGUGGAGGAGUUUUCAAAAGAAAGACAAGAUGACUUAUGGACGAGACAACAUGUGACAACUUACUCCAAACUGAAAUUUCUAAAAACAAUGCAGGCUUUAUGCGUAAGUUGAUUCUUGCCUGUAUGCAUCUCAGUAUCCUCACAUUUUAUUCAACAGGUAUUAAACAAAAAAUAUAUGAUGGCUGAUGCCCCGAUGCCUUAUCGUUACUGAGAUAUAGUGCUUGUGACAACUAGCCCCAGUCUUAUUCUUAAUCUUAUUCCAUUUUUAUAUGGAAGAAUGAAACGUAAACACAUGUAUCCCUCGGCAAAGCCACAAAACACAAUGUCUCUCAGUGAAGUAACUGAGU